CUCUGCAAUUUUUUACCCAGUAGACACAUAAACAGGCUUGCUAAUCUGUUCUACUGAAAUUCACAAGCAUUACAUGCCAAGGCUAAUUGAACCUUUAAAACAAUAACACGUGUAACGACCCCAACAUUGUUCAUUUGAUUUUACUGUAUCUAGAAUCGAAUUGCAGAGAAACGACAAGCACGAAGCAGCAUCAUCCAACAAAAAAGUAAAGGAGGCGCGUUAGAAAAUCAAGGGGAAUUAAAAAAAGA
rnacentral:misc_RNA from 1 species